ensembl:snRNA U6 U6 spliceosomal RNA
ACGCUUCAGCAGCACAUAUACUAAAAUUGGAAUGAUACAGAGAAGAUUAUCAAGGCCCCUGCACAAGGAUGACAUGCAAAUUCAUGAAAUGUUCCAUAUUUUU